CCAGGGAGAGCCAAGGCUCAAUAAGCCACACAAAAGUAGAAAUACAACCAUGGAGGCUACGCGAACUCCUCUGCAUCCCACAAGAAACAUGAGUCUGGCUGCCAGCCUUAUAGGUUAAACAUUUCGAAGCUGAGAUUUAUAACUAUAGUAGCUACGUGAACUCAUUUGCUCCCUGCAGGAGCAUGAGUUCGGCCGCCGACUCUAUAAGUUUGAAAUCUCGCAUAUUUCCUCUUGCAAGUAAAGCUGUAUGAGCAUCAAAGCUAAAAUUGAAGCCUAAAGUGACCACGCGAGUCAACUGCCC
rnacentral:lncRNA from 1 species